GUUGAGGAUGAUAGUGUUAUUUUGAUGAUUAACAAGCAAUUAUCUAGAGCAUGCUAUAAGUUAAAUUGAUACUUCAUUUAUAAGUUCAUUACUCUCAGUAUAUUUGUUUAAUUGAAAAUGGAUAAAUGGCCUUGUUCAUUUGGAUGAAUCUAACCUUGAGAAUGCAGCAAAGUGUGGUUUGAGUCGACCCAUAGGUUGAUUGGGUCGACCCCGGCACAUCAAGAAGUCAUCUGGCACACUCCUGCAAAAAUGGCACAAAUGAACAGUGAGUUGGGUCGA
rnacentral:lncRNA from 1 species